CCUACGGGUGGCAGCAGUGGGGAAUAUUGCACAAUGGGGGAAACCCUGAUGCAGCGACGCCGCGUGAGUGAAGAAGUAAUUCGUUAUGUAAAGCUCUAUCAGCAGGGAAGAAAAUGACGGUACCUGAGUAAGAAGCACAGGCUAACUACGUGCCAGCAGCCGCGGUAAUACGUAGGGGGCAGGCGUUAUCCGGCUUUACUGGGUGUAAAGGGAGCGUAGACGGCAGUGCAAGUCUGGAGGGAAAGGCGGGGGCCCAAACCCCGGCCCGCCGUGGAAACUGUAAGGCUGGAGUGAAGGAGAGGUAUGCGGAAUGCCUGGUGUAGCGGUGAAAUGCGUAGAUAUUAGGCGGAACUCCAGUGGCGAAGGCAGCUUGCCGGACUGUAACUGACGCUGAGGCACGAAAGCGUGGGUAGCGAACAGGAUUAGAUACCCUUGUAGUC
rnacentral:rRNA from 1 species